ensembl:lncRNA
UUGUGUGUGUGUGUGUGUGUGUGUGUGUGUGUGUGUGUGUGUGUGUGUGUGUGUGUGUGUGUGUGUGUGUGUGUGUGUGUGUGUGUGUGUGUGUGUGUGUGUGUGUGUGUGUGUGUGUGUGUGUGCUUGUAGUAAUAAUCAAAAACAUUUCACUUUGUAAAGCUGUUAUGGUCGGCCUUCUGCCUUGAUUUUUCUAUCCUCGAUUUUUCUAUGUGUCUGUGUAUAAGUUUCUGUGUGUGUGUGUGUGUGUGUGUGUCUGUGUAGAUGUUUCUGUGUGUGUUUUUCUGUGUGUGUGUGUGUGUGUGUGUGUGUUUCUGUGUGUGUGUGUUUUAAGAUCAAAUAGUCUAACAAUUCAUCUCAUGGCAAAUCUUGUGUCAGUAGGAAUAUAUUUCUAAGAAAACUAAGUCCAGCUGUAAUUGUUUUUGCACAAGAAGUCAAUAAUGAGGCAUCUAAGUUUAUCCAUCCAUUUCUCACUUGGAGGUGGUAGGCCUACACUGUGAAUCAUUUGUCAUAUGAGAAAACGCUGCAUAAUGGUUUAUCUAGCAUUUCAAGUUUAUAUCCAUGAAUGUUACUCAUGACAUGGUGGGUUGUAAUAUCUAUAUUUUGCCCUCCCUAAAUUGAAUGUUUUAAUAGUAUCUUAGCGUAGCUAUGUCAGUCAUCGGACAGUGUCAAACAUCGGCCAUUCUGUUAAACAAUCAAAAUGCUAAAUGUAAUAAUGGAUUAACAAUCGAUAUGCUCAGUUUAAUAAUGGGUUAACAUGACAACUCGUUUGCCGAUAACACACGCCGUCCGAUAAUUAACACCGUUACGAUACAUGUCAGACAUAUAUAGACAUAUGACAUCUAUCAGCAGGAGGAUAAAAACCAUGGCAACGAGGGGAUUUAAUUAAAUGCGUUGUCCAUGUAUUGUGUGUUAGAUCUUAUCCUCAUACUUUGCCUAAGCCCCAAAAUAUUGUCAUUGCCAAGGAAAUUACAUGGCUGGGUGAAAGCCUGAUAAGGUAUUAAUUGCACAGUGCAUUAGCCUACCAAACACCAUACACCGACAUAUCUGUCUCCAAGAUUUAAUGAAAGACUGUAGGAAUAAAAGUUCUCAUUAAUACUGUAGGGCUCCACCACCAGGAAUGCUGCACAACCCCUUUAUUUGUCGAGACAGUGCUCAGCGUGAAAUUGAUUUAUGCAAACCACAAAAUCAUAUUUCUGUUCGUUAACUCAGGUACUUGCGGAAAGAGAAGGAAAAGGAUGUUAGUGUGAUUAGGGCAUUAUGGGGAGAAAAAUGCAAGGUGGAAGUGAUGUUCGAGACACCCUGUGGAGCAGUAAGAGGAUCUCAAGGCUGGUUGUACAAGAAAACAUGACAUAAUUCUGAAUUAAAGCAACAUUAUGUAACAAUUUUACCCUAAAAUAACAGUUUCAAGCUCAUUUUGGUUUGACUUGUAAUAUAGAGAAUGGCGUCUGUGCUACCCCAUGCCUGGUGUGCCUGGUAUUGCACUAUGUAACUUUGGUGGACAGGGUGCAACACUUCUUGCAAGAACUACAUAAUGCUUUAUGGCACAAUCUCACACAACAACUGGCCCCUUCUGCUAGCUAUAAGAAGAAGCUAGCACAGUAUUCUCUGUAUGGACAUCAUGGCAGAGGCGAUGAAGAAACCGAGGAAGACAUUGUCAGUGAGAUCAGUGAAGAGAAAAGAGAGAGUAACUGAGCAAGAGAAGGAGAGUUAGUCUUAGACAGGCUUUUACUUGUUGGCGAGAGCUAAAAGAGACAAAAGGAUCCAAGUCAGAUGCUGGCCUGGCCUUUCUGUUAGACUAGUCAGUGACAACUAAUUAGCUGUCUUGCUAUGUCUUGAGUUGUGCCUGCAUGAUAUUUUUCAUCAUAAACGUCCCUGAGAAUGCAAUGUAGGCUGUAACCUUAUCGGUGUCAUUCCUGUCUCACAGAGAUUUGUAAUUUUCUAGAUGCCCAAAGUCAUCAGUCCUGUCAGGCUAGCAUCCAAAUAAAUACGUCUCACACCAAAUAAGCCUGUGAAGUUGGCAACCUUGAAAACUCUCUGCUUGUUUGUAAAUGUAAAUUACACAGCCCAAUGUGUAUUAUGCACAAUAUAUGCCUGUAUCGUGUCGCAAACAACAUUUUAUUAGAUUACACAGAUUACAAUUGAGAAUAUGCCUACAACAAAUUAUCAGUACAGUUCACUUACUUUUCCUGAGUUCCUGAAUAAUAAUAUUAAUAUAAGUGAGGUGCACUGGUGUGCAUAGAGCAUAGUGGUCGAGAAAGCAGAAGAACCUGUAAACAAUUCCAGCAUCCUGUUGCCAUAGGUUACAGAGACAUGAUGCCUUUGUUCUCGAGAUGAAAUUGAGUUAGCCUUGUGAAGACAUAGUGGAGCUCCUGUAUGCUUUUGUACUUUAAUUGAAUUUAAUGAAAUAUUUUUAAUUAUCUUUUUAAUCCUAGCUUUGCAGUGACAUGUCCCAGAAAACACGGCAGGUAAUGAACCCGUUAAGAAAUAAUGAACUAUCCCAUUAAUAGGAGCUAUUCCACAUUCAAAUCCACCUUUUGUCCAUUAUCUCAACCUGAGCACUGAGAUGAUCUUUCUAAAAGCACAUGGGCAUUUUUUGCGCUAUGCGUGGGCAAUUUAGCGGUCUAGUUAGGAUGUCAAAAUUAUAAAGACAUUUCAAUCUAAUAGGAGUGCCUUGGUUUGGAGAGCCUUUCUCUCUCUUUUAUUCAUCAUCAUUUCACUCAUUUGAAAUGUCUAUUGGACUCUAGAUAACCUAGGAAGAAGAGAGAGUAUAAUAUUAUGAUUCAACUCUAAUGAAGGCCAUUUCCAUCCUCUCUCUCUUCUUCCUCACUUGCUCGCUCUCUCCCCCACUCUUCUAGAUCAUCUCUUGCUCACUUUCUCUCGAAAGUUCAGUAGUUUAGAAAAUGUACUCUUUGGUAUUCUCCAGAAUAAGAAAUACUGUCAUGGACACAAUAUGGCUACAGCCCCAGCAUAUUAACACAGAUAUCGAGUGAUGUCUGAAUGCUCUUAAUAAGAUAGGAAAGCAUUGUGUACAAGGCCAGUCACUGCAGGGGGAAGGACCUAUACUGGUCUAUCGCAUUUACACUAAAUACUUCUGGAUAAUAUUUUUGGUAUGUGUCAUAGUUUUCUGAUAACACAGAAUGAAUUGGGCUUUUUUUUUAGCAUUUUGGAUGGCGCUUUUAAAGCGUAUCCAUUUUGGCACAUUAGCACUUAGAUGCCACAUAUUGCAUCAUCUAUAAAGUGUGAUUUAAAAUGAGUGUGACUGUUAUCAUUUCUAUACACUCACCUAGUGUGUUUAGUGGUGACUUACCAUUCCUUUUUAAAUGGCAGCAUAUCUCCAUAACAAUCACAAGGCUACAUACACAGUUAUGUUUAUGUAGUCACAUUUAACAUGAGCCUAAUUUGGACUUGCAAGAGAGGAAAAGAAAGUUUCUUGCUCUUCAUUCAGCAGCUCGUCCCUCAUAAAUCUCCUGAUAAUUUAAAUCCAACAAUGGCCCACACAUACUUUCUCUGGACGCCCUUGAAAAUGUCACACAGAAUCCCAGAUGGACUGUUAUAUUUAAUCAGUAUGUUGCAAAAAAACUAUGCCGCAACACUCUAAAAAUAGAUGCAAGUGUCCGGAGUCAGAGAGACAGAUGCUGGAUAGAUUCCACAUAGAUUGCUUCCACACUCAUGUGUGCCAGAUAGGAAGGCAUGCCCUUCUUUGUGUGUUUGACUGUGUGGGAUGACAUGCUUGGCAAGGCCAGCAUUAAGCCGCCAUUUGCCAUGUGAGGUGAACAGUCAGAAGGUCUGACCCCUGGGUCUGUUUAAAGGGUCAAGUCUAGUCAAGUGUGGGUGUGAGACCGAGAAGGGAAGCCCACCUACCUACCUCACAUGCAUCUAGCGUCUUUGACUCCAGAAAACAAAGGCAGGAUGUUCCACACUCAGCAGGUCUUCAUUAACUGAAAAAAAUAUCACUUACAGUUUGGCAUCCGGUGACUAAAACACAACGAUUCUGUGUGUGACACUGUAGUUUACCCUUUCAGAUGUGAAAACAUAGAAUUGAAAAAAAAAAAUGCAUUUUGGAAAAUGUGGCCUGUAGACUGUGCAUGGACCAUAGACUGGCUUUAUUGUCAUUUCAACCAUAUAUGCAGCUAAUGCACUAUACAGUGAAAUGAAACACCGUUCCUCCAGGACCACAGUGCCACAUAGAACAACACAGAUCAGACAGGUCUACAUAAAGCACACGUGCGCAAACACAGACCAGACUGGACUACAUAAACUACACGUGUGCCAACAUGUACAGCACAAGACAGUACACAGUGUACAAAAACAGUACAGUAGGCACAGAAACAUCAAUCAAGGUAUGGAGUGCGACAACUGGUCCAAAAUACACACAUGCACAGUGUAGAGAGUGAUGGUAAUUAGUUUUAUACCAUAUAUUGAAGAUUCAGUCUUAGGUUUGAUCAGUCAGGAUUCAGGUUUAUUCUUGAAGAAUGGCGGCCGACCAUUUGUGAGACAGAAACUUUCAGAUCCAUCCUCCCUCACAGAACUUCACCUCAGUAUAUCUGACUUAUUCCUUGGGGAACAGUCUGUUAAAUACACUGACAUUAAGGGGUGUUACCGUCUAUUCAAAUGGGCCAUGCAUGCAGGGUUCUUUGUCUCGACCUGGGGGGGAGGUGAGACCAAUGUCGCACCUCACUCCCCUGGUCAAAAUCAAGUAUAUUCACCCUGGAACUGUUUACAUGCUAGUUAAGUCCAAAUAAAAGUAACAAUUAGAACUAGGUAUAAUAUCAUUGACUUAUUGACUAUGGCAUAUUCUUAUGACCUAUGCUGGUCCCUUCAAGAGGAUCACAACAAAUAAAUGCCCUCAUCAUGCUUAAAAAGAAAUGUUGUAGCCUGCUUCAAAACUUUAUAAUUUCCAACUGCGUAGAGCUCAUUACCUCUGCAGCAUUGACACUCACAACUAACAGACAGCCCUCUGCGACUUCAAUUAUCCCUUAUCUGUUGGCUGGAUCUCUGUCUCCGUUGUUGGAGCGGCUGAAGCUGUGCUUAAGCCUCUGCGACCUAUAUUUAAUUAGAGGCUCCCCUGUACAGUGACAGCCAGUUGUAAUGAUUUAUUGGGAUGUUUAAUAGGACUGUAAGGGGUUGGUUCAGCCUCCAUAUAAUCGCUAAGGGUAGCUGGAUGUUACAGUGUGGAUUCAUUUUUAUGAUAUAAUGACAUAUUUAUGACAAUGUUGUUUGUGUUAUUCAAUUGUGUUCUUUGGCUUGUUUUGACUUUUAGCAGCAGUCAAUAAUCCUGUCAAACAUAUCCUGUCAAUGUGUGUGCAAUACAGAGCGGUAGUUUCAGUGUGACAGUAUUAGAAACAAAAGCUAGUUCUGCCACAGCCUGUGCUAUUUGUUGUUGCUGUUGUGUGUUUGGUUAUUUAGAUCCUGGCUCAAGCUCAAAUUGUUUACCCUCAGUAACCCUGAAAAGACAUGAAGAGGCGGUCUGAUCCCAGAGCAGUCCGAGAGAGAACAAGGUCUCUCUACACCUCAGAGAUUUACUUUGCUGCUCCCUUCUGCCAGGUCAAGCAAAGCAAAGUACGGCAGAACGGAAUGUUUCUUUUGGCUGUCAGUCUGGUUGGUUUGGCUGACUUUAUUUGUGACUCGAUAACAAACCUUUAAGCUUUUAGCAUCCUGUCAGAAGUCAUAAGGACCACCCAAUGCUGAAUAUGGUUUAUCUGGAUAACUGGAUAUAUUUUACUGUAUUUACUUUCACAUUUUUCCCAUUUCAUUAUAUGCUGCAUUGCUUUGGCAGUCUAUUUUUUUUUUUAUCUUGAAAAGGGCUUAAAACAUGGGACAGGCCUGGUGUUUAAUGUCUGUCAGCACUAUGGAAUAUGACUCUCCUGGUAACUAAUUACGUAAGCAGCAUUACUAUUUUCGUCAGUGACAAAUUUGCAAUGCAUGGCUUUCGUGCGUGGCUCUCUAUGCCCUUCCCUGUCAAGCUGAUAAGUCCUUUUAUGACCCAAGGACGGACGAAUAAAGUAAAAAAAAAAAAACUCAUCCCAUCCUGCUCUGAUUCAGCCAGCCUUUAAUAUGCAACACCAUGUAGAUGCAUGUCCCUUGUGUCUUCACUGUCUUCGGAGACCAGUCCUCAGUCAGACAACAUGGGAGUUAUAAAUCUCUUUCAACAGUCAUGGGAAGAUUUUCCGUGCUGCCAUUUAUAGAUUACUUUAAUGGGCCUCAAUUCUAAUCUGCCAGUGUAAAGAGUGGAGCAGAGGGCAUAAUGACUUCAGACACCCUAACUCGCUUCGCACAUUUGGUGAAUCUUAACUACGGGACGGAGCAGCAGAGAGGAGACAAACAGGGUGGUGAGAGAAAAAAAUCAAUCAUUUAAACAUAGUUUAAUCUAACUGAGUUUCAUCAAAUCCACGUUCCUACCGUUGAGUGUGCAGGUCUUUUUCUUUAGUGAUUUAGUGUUGGAUGGAUCCCUUGAUAGUAUUUUGUCUGCAAUGCUGAUUGUCUGCUUCUCUUGAAUUGUAGGAGGAGGCAAUCAGCACUCUCUUCCUAAUGCCAGUGUCUCAUGCUGAAGCUCAGAUGUAAAAUGACAUCUUGUAACACCCACUUUCAUCUCUUCCAAAUAGUCUUGCAGUGCCUAAACUCUAAUAGAUAGUUGACUUGAUAGCCUUCACUUCAGGACUGUGUCCUCUUGAUUCAUUUCAAUUAAUUCAAAGGGAUGUUUACAGGACAUUAUAGUGAUAUAAUAACUAAUCCAUCAGAGAGAAGACAUAAGCUUUCUAACUCUUUGAAAUUGCAACUCAAGUGUUUCAUAGGAUUACCUAAAGCAAUUAAGGCUUCCCAGACAUGACACCUCUUACAGUCCUCUGUCAUACAGUGAUCCCAGUCUGGUCUUUAAGGGCAGAUAUUCAUUCUAUUAUGCUAUUAGGCCCUGUCAUGCUUCAGUGGACACACAUUCCCUUAUCUUAGAAGACCAGUUGACCGCUUGAACACAUAGCAAAAAGUAAUUUCAGAAUAAACGUGUGCUAAAAGCUGAGCAUUUCACUACACUAGCAUUAAACCAUGCACAACUAACGCAUAUCUCAGAGUCUUUCAUUUGAAAACAAACACCCUUAUUUUCUCUUCAGUCUGUUGGUAUGUACUAUGCAGUAGCCAACUUCCUAAUUAUCCCUCAGACCAUGUCCAAAUCUGCUUGAUAUACUCCCUUUGAAAAUACUUCAAGAUGACUAUUUCUGCACUAUUCAUAGUGGUGUGUGCAUGUGUGCUCAAACAGUAUGUACUCUCCUGUGUAUGGGUACACUCAGGCACCUAGAUUCCUCCCUCCAGUUGUUUGCAGCUCGUUGCGUGGGAGGUGGUAUGGCAGUGGAUCAAAACGGCCAUCUUAUGAAGGCAUUACUCUUGAUACCACUUGACAUCUUCUCUCCAUAAAUCAUGAGCCUAUCACCAUUAUGUUUCCAGAGGGUGGGACGCAUGCCCACGUUGCCUUGAAUAAUGUAAAAAUCUGGAAGUUAAUUCGAUUAGGGAUUUAAAUAGCGGAGCAUCUGUCAUGAUUAUGUGUAUCGGAGGGCAGGGUUUUUUGUGCAGAGUAAAAUCAUCACGGACGAUCCUUUGGGGUGUCACAGACAAACUGAAGUUGAAAUGUUAAUAUUGAGGUCUUCGAGGUGCACGGAGGCCCUACUUAUUUGCAUACUUUAAAUAAUUGCUGACAAUUUUGUUCUUUCUUGUAAGGGAUAACAGCUUCCAAAGUGUCCCAGUAUACACACUUAUUUGUAGUGCUAUGCCACAGGUUUAUAUAAAUCAACUCUUAUUAUUAAGGUGUUUUAAUUUGCUAUUUUUUAAAUUGAAAUAUAUCUAUUUUUAGUUGUUUUAUUUGUUCUCUGUCAUGUUGGCUGUGUUUUGCCUCCUGGAGACAUUGCAAUAAUGUAACGUUAAACAGAGGUUUCUUUGCAAUAUUACACAGAGGUUUCUUUGCAAUAAUGUAACGUUAAACAGAGGUUUCUUUGCAAUAAUUUAAUGUUACACAGAGGUUUCUUUGUGAUACUGUCACGUUACCCAGAGGUUUCUUUGUGACACUGUCACGUUACCCAGAGGUUUCCUUGUGACACUGUCACGUUACCCAGACAUUUCUUUGUGACACUGUCACGUUACCCAGAGGUUUCUUUGUGACACUGUCACGUUCCCCAGAGGUUUCUUUGUGACAAUGUCACGUUACCCAGAGGUUUCUUUGUGACACUGUCACGUUACCCAGAGGUUUCUUUGCUGAAUUUUUCUAUCUGCCUUGCAGCUGGGAUUAGCUCCAAGGUCUUUCACAUCACUUAACUGUUUCAACGUCCUUUCCUCACAUUUCAAGUUCUCUACUGUUAGAUAAGAGAUAAAAUCGAAUUAAAAUGUCCUGGUAACAAACAAGACAACAGGGCAAUGUCAGAAUUCCUGUACCAGCACAACAACUGUGUGAAUGUGUAUGUGUCUCUAUCACAUUUAUAUUGCACCACUCAAGCAAGACUCAGAGAUGCUAUGAACUUGUGAAUAUUUAACACUCUGACUAAUGUGUGUAUCAGAGACACUGCAUCACAGCUAAUGGUAUUAUCCUUCCUUGCCUGCGGGGAACAUAUUUUAGUGUAGAUGAAAGAUGCACAUCUCUGGCUGAAGCUGCAUCUGUAAGGGGCCCCAUAAUGAUGAGACAGUUCCACUCUGCCACGUCUGCCACAGCAGUCAUACUUGAAAUGCCAGGUAGGUCUGUAAAUUGCCGAUUGACUCUUCAUUGAUCUAUCAAGGUCAAACAAACAAACAAACAAACAAAUAAAUAAACAGAUAGAUAGAUAGAUAGAUAGACAGACAGACAGACAGACAGACAGACAGACAGACAGACAGAAAGACAGAAAGACAGAAAGACAGACAGACAGAUAGAUAGACAGAUACAUAGAUAGAUAGACAGGCAGACAGAUAGAUACAUAAAUAGACAGACAGACAGACAGACAGACAGAUAUAUAUAUAGAUAGAUAGAUAGAUAGAUAGAUAGAUAGAUAGAUAGAUCAGUGAUUGCUAAAUGUCAGAGUGAGAGUGAAGUAAUGGCGGUUCCCUGUAGCCAUUCUGUUGGAAAUGAGAAUGCCCCAGACAACCAGAAGCUCACCUCUGCGACCCUUGAGAAUGGUCCAUAAUUCACCCCGGUGAUCCCAGCCAUACCUUCGCCAUUUACUGCCCAUUAAGCUGUCCAUCUAAUGCAUACGUUUAACCCCCACACUGACCUUUUUACCGUUGUUUGCAGAUGUGACAUUUGGCCAUUAUGGCAUCCACAGGGACUGCAAGGACUGUAGGGACUUCACUGCUUUUAACUGGGUCUAAUUUUAAAUCUAUGGGUGAUCAUGAUGAUCACUGGUGUUGGUCCUACAUUAUGGAAUAGUCUCCCAUUAGAUAUUAGAUCUGCUGUCUGUAUCAAGAUUGUUAAAGCUGGACUAAAAACCUGCUUUUACACACAUUCCCGGAUUUUAAGUUAACUUAUCUAUUCUAAUCUAUCUAGUCUAUUCUCCAUUUUAUCUAAUUCUAACGUGUUUUUUCUUCUGUUUUAUUGUUUUUUACCUCUUUUACUCAUCACUUUUCAAAUUCCGUUCUUUUGUUACAAUAGUUUUUUUUCUUAUUUUGUUUUUUUAUUUGUACAGUUAUUUCCUGUUAUUUCUUUAAAUUCUUGGCUACAUUUGUUAUCAAUCUAUUUGCUUUGGCUAUAAAUCACUUUGGUCCAAUUCCUGUUGACUUGAUUUGACUUGCAGAGAUUGGAUAUUCUCACUCCGCUAAUGAGUGGCAGGGAAGGUGACUACAGUCAGGGGUUACAAUUGCCCUGUCAGUCUAUGAGAGGACACCUGGUAAUAAGACCUCCAUGCAUUUAAUGGGAAGGAUGUUUUGCUGAGAAUAACAUACAUGUUGUUUUCUUGUGUCUCUGUUGUGUGUAAUACCAGCUAUUUUUCUGUGUGUGUUAUUUAUCUAUUCUUGUUUGAGGACCAAAACAAAAACACAGGUAGUCAUGCAAAGUUUCUGAUUGCACUCUUUUUUUUUAGGGAAUUAGAAGCCUGAGUUUCCCUGUGAUCUUGUGGUGAUACCUGUGCCAAGUAUGGUGCCAAUUGAAAUUCAAAUAGAAGAUGUUACUACGAUUAUAACAAUACAACGUUUCUGUUGCUUAUCAAGGUCUGCAUUUCAAAGGUGCUAUACGUAAUAAUUUUAAGUUAAGUUUAGUUUAAAACAUUACAAAAAUUACUACAAAUGGCAACAUAAUGUGAAAGAAUAACCGUUUUGUCAUGUCAAAAAUGCCUAUGAAUUGUUUUGCCCAGAUAGCUGCUAAAGUUAGCAUUCUAACCUGCUAGGGCCAGGUUUCCCAAUAAUGAUAAUUCUUAGUGGUUACAAGUGUUCUUUACAGGCGAUUCUACAAACAUUUGUUACGUUUUUACACGCAUUUCCCAAACAAGCACGUAACACGAAAGUGCAUGCCCUGCUCUUAAGUAGCACUUAACGGACGCUGUCCAUGUAAACAGUGCCAAAACAUCACCUAAUCUGGUGAUAUCUGGUGAUGUUAAAGUUGUCUUUUCAACUGCAUAGAAUCUACAUGCUAACUGACUUAAAAGCAGAUAAACUUUAACUAUCUGUAUAACUAACGUCAGAAUAAACAUUCUCUGAGUAUGCAUAUGUGCACACAUACACACACCACAAAUAAUGCUCAUGAUUAAAACAAUUUUUAACGUUACACUGGGCCUCAUUUAUAAAACGUACUUACGCACAGAUUUGAUCUGAGAGUGUUCGUGCGAUCAAAUCCACGUCUAAGUACAGAUUUAUAAAAACCGUCUUAGACGUAGAAAAGGACGUAUCUCUACGUCUGGUUCUAGUUCGUGUAAGUACAUUUCCUUGUGGCAAUACUGGAGUACUGCAGGAAUUCGGAACUCUCCGAGCGCCGACACGCAGUUUCAUCAUCAUCAUCGUCACCACCACCGUCACCAUAGGGCUAAUGGUAAAAGGCCAAAUGAAUGUUUCGCUCAAUAAAAUCAAUUAAACAAUUUGAAUAAUUCAUACAUGAAUGAAAUUCACGUCUAAUAGGUAUUCAUUUUAAUUCCACACGUGUAAAACAUUUCGCUCAAUUUAUAGCCUAUAAAAAGCCUGAUAGUGACAGUUUUCAGUAGGAGAUAUGGCUGCUUUGGCGUUGUUAGAGGAUAUUACCCCUCUGUGUCCGAAAUGUAUUACAUGUCCAUACAGUGCCCAGGAACAGCGAAAUGUGAAAGAGGAUUUUCUGCGUAAAACAGGGUUCCCAAUGGCUUCUCACCCCGAUUGCGCACACUCAGACAGCCUAGGAAGCCCACUUCAAUACAGCACAUGCCCGUGUGCGGUCUGUAGUGGAGCGCAGCAUAGGCAUGCUGAAGGGAAGGUGGCGAUGUUUGGAUGCAUCGGGAGGGAGACUGCUAUAUGCCCCCGAAAAGGUUUGCCAGAUCAUCCUAGCCUGUUGUGUGCUACACAACAUCUGUCUAAGCCAUGGCAUAGAGGAGAAGACGAAAUGCGCAUGGACCAAGAUGACCACCCUCCCAUCCCAGCUGACUGGAACACGCACAUCACUGCGCUGAGAAGACGGGAGCUGAUUCACUAACUAUACCAACAGUAUAAGAAUAAAUGCACACAUGUUCAUUUUCUUAAGAAUGUUUUAUUUAGGCACGUUUGUUCAAAGAACCCUCAAUAGCGGACAGAGUUCAGCAACAACCUCGCUAACAGACUCAUUCAAGUCCCUUUGUGAAUGAGAAGAGGAAGCUGGUGAUGGCCAACGAGGCCCCGAUGCUGGUGCAGCAGGUGCUGCUGCCGCAGAUGCGGCUUCUGGUGCUGCUCGUUCCGCAGGUGCGGCCGCUGGUGCUUCGGAGACGUGUCUUCUACCAUGCCACAUACUUUGCUUUUGCCAUUAGCCUACGCCACCUGACAGGCUUUCGAACAAUGUUUUGGCCCGCAUCUGCUCUUCCAUCAGCAGAACGUCGAUUUAAACCUCACUAUAAUUCUUCUUUUUACAUGUUUCUUUCUUGCUUGCCAUUGUCACAGAGAGUUUGUGCAUUGAGGAUGCGCUCCGUUUGUGCAUUGAUAAUAUCCUAAUUAGAUUAAGUAGGGGCGUUUUGAGAGCGGAGAUUCAGCUGCGCACAAUUCCACGAUCAUUUGUGAUUUAUAAAUGCAGGAAUGGCGUACACGUGUUUUUUGGGCGUACGUUCGUUUUCUGUGAAUAACACUUACGACCAUUUCAGAAAACGUCUGAGAUCAAAUGUAGGAUGGUUUCUACGCAACAUUUUAUAAAUGAGGCCCGAUGUGUGAGAAGGUGAAAUCCCUCCCCCUUCUCACUGUGGCCCUAAGGGGGAGAAGGACUGGACUCCCCUACCUGAAUGGUUGGGUCCGGGUUCCCCCUCCUCUGUAGUGUCCUCUGUGGAGUCCAAUUGACUCCAAUUGGACCAAUUUAGCCCUCGGGCGGCCUUAUUUAAGGUGCACCUCAUUGUUGCAUGAGGGGAAGACAGACUGAACAUGCUGGAAGAAAGCUGGGACAAGUACAUAGAUUAAACCUGUGUGAUCUGUGACCACAGAGUUGCACCUUGUUUGUUUUUGGCCUUUAGUGUUGUUCAGUUUGUAUAUGUUUUGGGGUUUCGAAUUAUCCUGUUGUAAAUAAAUAGCUAUUUUUUAAGAAAGCCACCUGCAACCCCAUUCCAACCAGCCUACAUCCCACAUUGUGGGGUGGUCGACUCGAGCCAUCUUCACACACUGUAUUCAGAUUUGUUUAUUGAAUGAUGUGUCAACAUGUUAGGCCUACUCAAGACAUCCAACAUAAACCUGCUCUUUGCCACUUGCAGGUGUCCCAUAGUGUGUGGCAUGCUGCCCGAGGAAGAGCACUUUUGGGUAUCCUUGAAGAAAGAAUUUAAGGAUGAGGACGAGGAAGAUAUACAUAACAAAUAAAGGCCUAAGGCUGAUUUUGACACAGAACAUGUACAUUAUGUUACUCAACAAACUUUUUUUUAAAUGUAAUAGUUUCUAAUUCGUAUUCAUUGUUAUGUUCUUUUUUUCUGUCUGAUGGAACUUGGUUUCCCCUAGUCUCUUCCACUUUCUGCACCAACUUCUGAGCUAGGCUUAGGCCCUACUGAAUAUAGUCUACAAUAUGCCCCCAGCAGAAAAAAGACCAAAGGAAGGGAACAUACCGAACGUUCCCGGGACAAUUCUGGCAUUCAUGAAAGUUUUCUCAUCUGUGAUUUGUUUGCUUUGAACAGAAUUUAAGAACGCUAAAUAACAGUCGUAAAUCGGCCAGUUUGGAGUGCGCCCAUGUUGUUAACGGCUGAAUUUGUGAGAAAUCAUUGGUGAUUGCGUUCACAUCAAGUUCUACAGACAUCCUCAGAUUUAAAUGAUUAUAAUAAUAAUAAAUAAGAGAAUAUUUGUAUCAUAAACAAUUACGUUUCACAUUUAUAGUCAUGUUUCUAGGAGGCAUCGUGAUGUCUUAACAAAAAUAAAAGCACUACACGAACACUGCAAAUGGCAUUGAAAAAAUAAAUACCGUAAAUCCUCAAAUUGUGGCCGGGGCUUUUAUUUACUUAGGCUGCACAGCGCACUGGCCUGUAUUUAGGGCAGGCUUGUAUUAGGGGCAGGCCUUUAUUUCUUACUUAUUAUACGGCUCUUCAGAAUGUUCCCCAACAUUAGCAGGUCUGUAAUUUCUUGAUAUUCACCACUGCGAAAAGUUAAUGACCGCUAUCAUUGGCAACAGGUUUUGUGCUUCUAAUUCACAUCUUUCAUAUCAUUCCACAAGAAGUCCGGUCAUUUAACGUAGCGGAAAGUCAUUGUAACUUGAAGUCAGCAAGUAAUGGGUUGCUACGCAACACCUGGAACGUUAAAGUUCUAUUAGCCUGAAGACAUUUUUUUUCUUAGCGGAAAUCACGAAACGGCAACAAAAUCAUGGAGGAAUGUCUUCUAUCGUUUAGGCAAGUAACUGUAUAAAAACAAAUUCGCCUUGUAGGCUGAAACAUUUCUUUUUUUAUUGCAAACAGCCAUGAAAUUAUCCAACAACAUUAAACAUGAGGAGAACAUGUAUUUAUGAAAUGCAUUCAAUUAAAUUGUGAUAUCUGCUUUGUGCUGAUGGACUGAUGCUGGUAGGCUACAGUAAAAUAGGCUACCGGUACCUUUUUUUACCCCCGGCUUGUAUUCGGGGCCCUGUCUUUAUUUGUCCGUAUCGACCACGCCCCCGGCUUCUAUCUGAAGCCCGGCCUCUAAUUGAAUCCCGGUCUUUAUUUGAGGAUUUACGGUAAGCACUAAACUCAAUCGCGUGGAUAUAGCCAUGGUGGAAUAGAAUGGACACAUCUACAUUCUGCAACAGUACCUCCACCUCUGCACCGGUGAAGUAAGGAUACAUGUUGAAAGUUGCUCCUGUAAAGUUCCAGCAAAACCCACGCUGACCGUGUGAACUUUGGACAUUAUUUGUCUGUGAGUAGAUAUUUUGUGUUGGGACAUUAAUGCCGUUUAGAGAAUUUGUGUUUGUAAAUGUUAUAAGAGAAUUCAGUAUUUAGCAGCCAAGUUAUGCUAGCUCUUGUGGUAUCGUGCUACCUUUAUGCCACAUCAUUUGACGUGAAAUGUAUGUAUCUCUUUAUUUCUGUCUGUUCCAGACAGUUUUACUAAAUCAAACGUCCUGUAUGAAUAAUUGCAUGCUGAUAACUUCAGUAAACUCAAAAAAAACAAGACUUGUGGAUUCACUUGAAAUUCAUCUUUAUUCUGCAAAGACAAGUGUUAGCUAGCUGUCAGUCCUGCAAGGUAGCAAACGCAGUACGAAGACAGCAUAGAGAGACAGAGGGAGAUAGGGCCAGACAGCAAUUUUUUCAUGUCCCCCCCAAGAUUUACUCUCUGAAAUGUUACCAUGUAUUGUCCCCCCCUACAAAGAAAUGGGAUCUCCGCCCCUGCCCACACCGUCAGGAAUGAUGUUUUUAAUAGCCAAAAUCCCAUCUCAGAGGCUAGAAUAAUGACGUGAAGUGUUUGUUAAUUAAUGGAGAAAUGGAAUCCUUGAACUGCAGAGCCCCCAUCCAUUUUUAAAGUGCUGGCUUGAAUUUACGAAUGGAUCCAAGUUCAUUACUAUCCUGUAGUUAGUAUCAACAAGUAGCUCAAUAGCAAGCCCAUCAGACAAACAUGGAUGGUUAGACUAGUCUAGAUCAGCUAGCUCAAAAGCUCUAAUUCUUAAAUGAAGACCUACAGGGGUCUGCUUGCCUCGACUAAGUCGAUGGAUUGAUGUUGAUGGACACACUAAUGGCCACACCACCUUGGUCAAACAUUUUUCACUUCUGUGAAGAGAGAGGAGGUAGGGGUGUACACACGUAGUAACACACCGUCCCCAAUCUGUUUCAGACGGGGAAUGUGAAAUCAUUUAGCUCACUAGCUGAGUCACACCACCUUGGUCAAACAUUUUUCACACCGUCCCCAAUCUGUUUCAGACGGGGAAUGUGAAAUCAUUUAGCUCACUAGCUGAGUCACACCACCUUGGUCAAACAUUUUUCACACCGUCCCCAAUCUGUUUCAGACGGGGAAUGUGAAAUCAUUUAGCUCACUAACUGAGUGCAGAACAUAAAGGUCAGGUCUGACGUCUUAGUCACGGGCCUCAGCAGUAAUGGACCUCUAAAGAGAGCCCAUCUUCAGUGAUGACAUCAUUAGAUCAUUUAACAAGGAUGUUGCUUUCUCCGGUUGAGGUAGAAAUCAUGCUGGAAUGCUCAUCACAUCCAGUUCUAAUGUGUUUCUCCCUCAAAGGAGACGGUGUUUGACCCGUUCAUUUCUUACGAUUACUUGUGUCAUCGUGUGCAGGAAGUGGAAGAGUGAGGUACUCAGAUGCCUGCAGCACACGGUUUGGCAAAACCACAGUUGUGUGCUGGCAAGUGGAGUUCUCUGAUGAUCCAGCUCUUUGCUUUUAAUGAGCACCAAAGAUCAAACAGUGGUGUGUUUGGUUUGAUUGGGUUGACCCAGAUGAAAUAACUUGCAUGCCUCUGAAGCCAACUGAGCAUGUAGCGUAAGAGAGGGACAUAAGUGAAAUGUGAUUUUGUUUGCUUGACAUAUAAAAAGGGUUAUGUUAGUUUACUUACCACAAUUCCGGCUGUACAUAUAUCCAGGACAGGUAGAUUUUUUUCGAUAACAAUGCUAUGAGGAUAAAAUGACAAUGAAAUAGACGUACAUUUUAUUUGGUGAUUUCAAGAUAGUAAGUUGUUAUUUCUAGAUAGUAUCUCAAGUAAGUCGAUAUAUUAUCUUGUUUUCAAGAUUUUAAGUUUAAGUUUAAUAGUAUUUCAAAAGUCAUUAUUUCAAGAUAGUAUCUUGUUAUUUCAAGAUAUUAUUAUCUUACUACUCGGUAAGACGUUGUAAGAUGCAGUAGCUUAUCAGGUUAAAUGGGCCCAUAUCUCUCAAAGUAAAAGAUUAAAGUAAAGCACAUAUUUUAACAUUGUGAGAAAAAAUGAAUGCCUUAAAAAAUAAAUAUUAAACCCUUGAAGUGACCUUGAUCAAUAAAUAGCCUUUCAUGAUAUCCUCUGGAUGAAGAAGCCUAUUUAAUGUUUUUUAUUUUUAUUUGAGGUAUCAUUGCAAUGACCUGGUCUAAAUUAGUGAUUUCUAGUGUCAUGCAAGUAGUCAAUAAAAUGUUAAAGUGGACAUUACACACUAAAUGUAGUUAGCAUUAUUUACAAGAUGGGUUCCCACUGUAAAAAUCCUAAUAGGUUUAACACUGUCAGUGAAACUGGAUUAAAAAUAAUAACUAAUAAGUAAUUGAAGUUACAAUUUGCAAACAAGUCUAGCACCAUCUUUGAAACUCUGACUUAGUAAAUAUUAUCUUGAAAUAAGAACUUAUUAUUUUGAAAUAAUGAGAUACUAUCUUGAAAUAAUGACAUGACAAUAUGUUUAAACAAUGAGAUAUUAUCUUGGAAUUAUGACAACAUAUUGUAAAAACGAGACACCACCGUGAAAUAAUGAUUUAAUAUCUUGAAAUAACAAGAUACUAUCUAGAAAUAAUGACUUAAUAUCUUGAUAUCCUGAAAAGGAUCUAUUAGUUAUUUAGGUUUUCAAUUUUCUUCACAUAAAUACACAUGUACUGUAUAUUGACAGUAAUGGUAACAUGACAUCUGCCACAGCAUGUUUUUAUGUAGUAACAUCAAUCUGAUAAUGUAGGCUACCAAUUCAUUUCACUGUAUGCAAUUCACAGUAGCAGUAAAUUAUCUUUUUCAUGUGUCUUUGUUGAGGUCUUACUGCAAGACCUUGCUCAGGGAGAGACAUUAUUGGCAAGCUUCAGCCCUACUUCUUGGAAUGACUGUAGCAAAAAGAAGGGCAGUGGUGUUUGUCAAGGGGCUGUUUGCUCAAUAUGCCUGAAAUCACUGGGCAGCCAGGGAGCAUGUAAUCUUUCAACUCCCACCCCCACCCUGAAACCCCCGUCCGCUUUAUACGACUGGAUGUCUAGCGAGACAUUUUGAUUGCAACACUGUGCUCAAGUUGCCCCAAAUCAAAUGCAGUACAGACAUGUUCACGAUGGCCGCCGCCUGUUGUGCAGAAUACCAAUGACCAUCUUCCAUUAGGAGGCAGAUUAACAGAGAAUGUCAAUUGAAAAAAACCCUCCAGUCUCUCCUUUUCAAACCUCCAUUAGUUGAUUAAUUUUUACCAUUUACAGAAGCCAUCUUGUUCCAAACAUGUUUUAAUACUUAGCUGUCAAUCAUCCAAACAAUGUACAUCUGUCAAUGUCAGUUAAAGAAAUUUGCACUGAGGGAAGCACUUUGUCUCUCCUCUGGGCUCUCUUCCCUGCAGACAUCAAUAUAAAUCUACGUCCUCCACAGACUGACAACCUCCCAUUACGAGCAUGCAUGGGGAAAAAGACAAAUUGCGGCUCUCUCACCCUGAGGUUGGCGAGAGUUCAUCCAGACUGGGCCACGGAGGAGGCCGAGUGCUUUUGUUGGCCUGUCACAACUCCGCAUGUCAGCUGGGCACGUCAGUGGGUGUUAAACACGGCCCCGCAUCGGGGGCCCUGCGUUUAACUCGGCACGGGCGCGGAAUCGAAUGCUCGCUCAAGUGCAUCCCUUUGAAUCCAAUCUGUAGUGUCCUCCUGGGCUGGAAUGUUCAUGAGUGUGUG